rnacentral:misc_RNA from 1 species
GUCUCCGUUGGUGAACCAGCGGAGGGAUCAUUACCGAGUUAUCGACUCCCAAACCCCUGUGAACAUACCCAACGUUGCUUCGGCGGGACCGCCCCGGCGCCCUCGGCGUCCCGGAACCAGGCGCCCGCCGGAGGACCCAAACUCUUGUUUAAACCAUAGUGGCAUAUUCUGAGUCUCACAAGAAAAAUGAAUCAAAACUUUCAACAACGGAUCUCUUGGCUCUG